CUGUGCUUCAGACAGUGGGUUUAGGCACUUCCGCUGCCGCCCUUCAUCUGCCUUUCCUCUAUCCCUGAAGCCACUGUGAUCCUUUAAUUGUCCCUCCACACAUUGUUCUUGUUCAUUUCCUCCCAGGCUUUCCCAAAGCCAUGCAGUGGUUCUAAUUUGGACCCUCAUUAUCCACUACCUCAACCGAGGCACUGGGGUGUGCUGGCCUUCCUGAUCUCCUCCAGAGAUGUUGCCAUGGCAACCUCCCUGUCCUGUACUGAUCAAAGUCUCCAAGGGCUCCCCAUCGCCUGCAGGCUUCAGCUUGCGCUGCAGCUCUGCAUGGUUCAUCUUGUUCAAGGACAGCAGAGAGAAAGGACACCCUACCAUCACAUUGCACACUUCUAAAAUCGCAGGCAGAUCUGCAAGGAGCUCACUUUGCUCUACAGAAACCCAUGGAAGAUGCUCAUUUUUACUGAGCUUCUGCUGGGCCAAGAACUCUCACAGCAAUAGAAGAGGCUCCACUGCCACUGGAACCUCCAAUCCAAAGCACCCCAGGGAAACAGGAAGCCACGGGUCACCCAGCUGUCCCAUAAAGCUGCUGCCUUCCUUAUCACCGUGCUCUCUGGUACACCAGGUUAUAUUUUGUUCUCAGAUUAUAUUUGAAUUUAAUGCAGAAAGGGUCUUGAUUUUUGGGAUAAUAUAUUUUUAAAAGUUGCUAUAAUUAUGCUACCUUUUGCAAGGCCUGCCUCUGAAAGGCUCUUGUCACAGGACCAAUGGGGAGGGGGGAUCUAGGGCCUGCAGCGGGUGAAGAUGGGACAGCUCCAGGCCCAGGGAGGUCACUAACCUCUGGUUCCUCCUCUCUGCUCUGGAGACUUAAUUACAAUUUGUUCCAUAGACUAGGUCUUCUUUACGAAUUACUCAUGGAGGAAAAAAUGUUCCUUCUUGUAGAUAUAAGGGACAAAAAAGACAUACUAGAAACAUUUCUGAUAGACGCUGAGAACAUACUUGGAUCUAUGUCCUGCUGUCUGAUGGUGAGGUCUCAAACCAACUUUCUUUCCUCUCAGAGCUUCAACUGCUCACUGCUAAGUUGAUUCACAAGACUGGCAUGCAAACUGAGCCAAGGGGUGGUUGUUAUCAUUGUACCACAUUCAGAAUUAUUUAGCUGAUCUGGUCCUUAUUCCUCUCCCACUCCCAUCACUACCAUUCGUUGGACAUUUUUCUUCCAUCCUUCCCCCAGUGCUAUUUCUGCCUUGAAGCCAGCUGAUUAUGGACUGAAAUCAUGACCCACCACGAACCUCUUCUCCUUUAAGCUGCAGGCUUCAAGACACAGUUGUCUCGGUGACAAAAAAAUGGACUAAUACAAGAAGCGAAUGCAUAUAUCCUUAAAAAGACACACCGAAAUGCUCACAGAAGCAUUCAUGUGGCUCAUACACUCAUCAACAAGCAAGCGAAUAAAUGGAUUGAGGUGUAUUGCAUAUUAUCAAGAAAUGCUUUCUAAGUAAUGGACAGAGC
rnacentral:lncRNA from 1 species